AAAAAGGGAUAAGUAAACAAGGAGCUGCAAAAUAAGAUGUAUCAACAAUAUCUAACAAUGUUCCGUUUUUAUCACCACCAAAAUAAGCCUUUUCACAUAAGGCUGAAUAGUAAAGAAACUCACAGGGAACAGAGAUUGAAAAUAAAUUUACCACAAUCCAACUUACUCAGUUGGAAAAUAAAGGGCACCUACCGGCAGCAUCACAUAAACUGGAAUGUAAGCACUCCCAGCAAAAUCACGUUCAGGUAAUUUUGGUGUUGUGUCAACAAUCUACAAAGACCAAAUACCAUUCAAUUUUCAAUAUGUUUUUAUUUUUUACAGAAUAUAUUUUAACUGUUUUAAAGUAUAUGAAAAUUAAUCAAUGCCGGAACUUACAAUAAGGAGUUCAAAGUGCUUUACCAGCGUUAUCAAAUGAUUUAUGUAGCUUAAUAUGAGAUGUGCUUUUAUUUUAUUUAGUUUGUUCUUUUAUUUUUAUUAAGAACCAUACUUUCAUCGAGAAGGAAUAAAAACCAAGGGUAUUAAAAAAACAGGAAGAGGUGUUUCUGGUGAUCAUCAACUAGAGUCACAUUCAUGCAUCUACUACAGUGCAUGCCAUAGUGAGGAGUAAACAUAUCCAUGAGAUCAAUCCAUGCUGAAUGCAGGAGUAAGAAUAACAAGAACAAGCCCGGAGAUAGACACAGAAACUACAAAUUUGACUACCUG
rnacentral:lncRNA from 1 species